rnacentral:rRNA from 1 species
UACGUAGGGUCCGAGCGUUGUCCGGAAUUAUUGGGCGUAAAGGGCUCGUAGGCGGUUUGUCGCGUCGGGAGUGAAAACACCGGGCUUAACUCGGUGCUUGCUUUCGAUACGGGCAGACUGGAGGUAUGCAGGGGAGAACGGAAUUCCUGGUGUAGCGGUGAAAUGCGCAGAUAUCAGGAGGAACACCCGUAGCGAAGGCGGCACUCUGGGCCGAUUCUGACACUGAGGAGCGAAAGCGUGGGGAGCGAACAGG